rnacentral:rRNA from 1 species
UGCAGUCGAGCGGGGAAUUGUAGCUUGCUACAUGACCUAGCGGCGGACGGGUGAGUAAUACUUAGGAAUCUGCCUAUUAGUGGGGGACAACGUUCCGAAAGGAGCGCUAAUACCGCAUACGCCCUACGGGGGAAAGCAGGGGAUCUUCGGACCUUGCGCUAAUAGAUGAGCCUAAGUCGGAUUAGCUAGUUGGUAGGGUAAAGGCCUACCAAGGCGACGAUCUGUAGCGGGUUUGAGAGGAUGAUCCGCCACACUGGGACUGAGACACGGCCCAGACUCCUACGGGAGGCAGCAGUGGGGAAUAUUGGACAAUGGGCGCAAGCCUGAUCCAGCCAUGCCGCGUGUGUGAAGAAGGCCUUAUGGUUGUAAAGCACUUUAAGCGAGGAGGAGGCUUACCUGGUUAAUACCUAGGAUAAGUGGACGUUACUCGCAGAAUAAGCACCGGCUAACUCUGUGCCAGCAGCCGCGGUAAUACAGAGGGUGCAAGCGUUAAUCGGAAUUACUGGGCGUAAAGCGCGCGUAGGUGGCCAUUUAAGUCAAAUGUGAAAUCCCCGAGCUUAACUUGGGAAUUGCAUUCGAUACUGGAUGGCUAGAGUAUAGGAGAGGAAGGUAGAAUUCCAGGUGUAGCGGUG